ACACCUGUGCUGCUGCAUUGCCAGAGUGAGUCAGAGGAAGAGAAAGAGUAAGAGAGAGAGAGAGAACGAGUCAGAGUCAGAGAAGCAGCUGAGAGAAAAUAGAUCGAAUACAAUAAAUACUUUGAAUAUAUCUGAAGUUAUUACCUUGGCUGGGUUUUUUUGUUUGUUUCUUUCUACGUGAUCUGCGAGAGUUUCCUGUUUGUGCCAUAAUUAAUCCUUUUGAAGAGGAAUCGUCUGUGUAUCGGACGUGAUUAAAUGUGCACAAUGGCGAGCUACCCACGGACCUGUUUCCACUUUGAAUUGUGCUUUGAAAUCAUCAACUGGUAGGAGAAUUCCAUUUUUUCCCUUGUUUUUUGGACACAAUACUUUUAUUCGUCGAACACAUUUGAUAUUUUUGCUUCAAAAAGGAGAGAUUAU